rnacentral:lncRNA from 1 species
CCUUAAUCAGCAGCCUCCUGCAAUAAUAGUUGUGGAAUGAAAAGGCAGAGAAGAAGGAGAAAGAGGAGGAAGCAGAAAGUGGCCAAGCUCACUGGCCACAAUAUGAACUCAAAUGAAGGCAACCUGGUUUCUGUGUUCAUUCUGUAUAAAUAUCCCAAGCAAUUUACAGAGAUGGGGAGAAGGCUCUGGAGCAAAAGCCUGCGGAAUCUAGGCUGCAGUGCACUUACUCAGAUAAAGGAGAGGCUCUAGGAUCCGGGGCAGAAAUUCUCCAGCAGAAACGUUAUGCUGGGGGGAAUCACCAAUUACUCCUGUUAGCACCUGCAAGCAGGCAUUUUAACAAAGCAGCAUUCUCUCAUUCUGUUGAAAUGCACAGCAUAUCCCGCCAGGCUAAUUAAAUAGCAGCCCCUCCCUUACAAAUAAGAGCACUGCAGAGGGUGUGCUUGAGCUCAGCCCUUGCACAUAAAGGGGGACCAUUCCCAGGUUGGAUUCCAAGAGGGAAAUAAAGACUUCCAGCAAGAGGGAUCUGCUCUGUGCCUGAUGCCACCGCUCAGCUCACUCGGCAAAGCAAGCCCUCCACCAAGCUCCCUCCCACCCAGCCCCACCGAGACUGCAUCUGCCUGCCCAGACUUAAUGGGAGCAGCCGAGUUCUGCUGGCUUCAGCUUCCCAGGCACUGCCUAAUUGCAGGGCAACACCAUGUGCCACGGAGCAGUUUUGUUUGUCAACCUGAAGGGUUUUGUGUCAGCUCCAUAAAACGCAGGCAAAGUGCAUCCAGCACAGCGUGGUACGGUGUGCAGCGCAGCGAUGUCACCUGCACCUGGACACCUCUGGGACCCGUUACCCUUGCUGAGGGUGCAUCCAACGCAGUUGCCUUGGUGUCACUCCACAGCAUUUCUGUCCUUGGCCCUUUGAAUGUGGAACGACUUUCCCACAGGUGGCUACUAUGUUCUAAUACUCAAAGAAACAGGAUGCAUUGUAUGUAUGUGAGCCUUCCGAGACAGCUUAGCAGAAGCACGGCAGCGCUGCCGACAGGGAUAAUAGCACUGCUAAUCGUGUCUACAGAGGAGUCCAAACACUGAAACUGGAGUUAUGUGAGAUGGUACAUGUGCAAGAGAGGAUGGAAAAGACUUGUAGUGGAGAAGUUUCAAGUGGAGGAUUGAUGGCCUGUGAUCGUGAAGCCAAAUCACUCGCUAUACUUGCUUUGCACUACACGAUUUCCUGCUGUUGUUUCUAGUUACAGUAGAUAAUAAAAAAUGUUACAAAACCCUCUUAACA